UACGGAAGGCAGCAGUGGGGAAUAUUGCACAAUGGGCGCAAGCCUGAUGCAGCCAUGCCGCGUGUAUGAAAAAGGCCUUCGGGUUGUAAAGUACUUUCAGUCGUGAGGAAGGUGUUAGGGUUAAUAACCUUAGCAAUUGACGUUAGCGACAGAAGAAGCACCGGCUAACUCCGUGCCAGCAGCCGCGGUAAUACGGAGGGUGCGAGCGUUAAUCGGAAUUACUGGGCGUAAAGGGCACGCAGGCGGUUAAUUAAGUUGGAUGUGAAAUCCCCGGGCUUAACCUGGGAAUGGCAUUCAAGACUGGUUAGCUAGAGUCUUGUAGAGGGGGUAGAAUUCCAUGUGUAGCGGUGAAAUGCGUAGAGAUGUGGAGGAAUACCGGUGGCGAAGGCGGCCCCUGGACAAAGACUGACGCUCAUGUGCGAAAGCGUGGGGAGCAAACAGGGAUUAAA
rnacentral:rRNA from 1 species